AAUGUAACCAAGGCAUUUAGGCAGUGGCCACGAUUGCCUGGUAAGGUGAGAUUCUAACUGGAGCUGCCUUCCUCUGGGAUCCUUCCUCAACUCACUCACCUAAAGAAAGGCCUUCAACAGUGAGUGUCCUCACAGACAAGGUGGAAGCUCAAGGAGAGAAAAUCCGGGACCUUGAAGUGUGUCUGGAAGGACACCAGGUGAAACUCAAUGCUGCCGAAGAGAUGCUUCAGCAGGAGCUGCUAAGUCGCACAUCUUUGGAGACCCAGAAGCUGGAUCUGAUGACUGAGGUGUCUGAGCUGAAGCUCAAGCUGGUUGGUAUGGAGAAAGAACAGAGAGAACAAGAGGAAAAACAGAGAAAAGCAGAGGUGAGUGUGAUGCAUCACAUCAGGG